GGCUCAAUGGUUAAGAGCACUGGCUGCUCUUCCAGAGGUCCUGAGUUCAAUUCUCAG
rnacentral:tRNA from 1 species